rnacentral:rRNA from 1 species
UGGGGAAUUUUCCGCAAUGGGGGGCACCCUGACGGAGCAACGCCGCGUGCGGGAGUACGGCCUGUGGGUUGUAAACCGCUUUUCUCUAGGAAGAAGAUCUGACGGUACUAGAGGAAUCAGCAUCGGCUAACUCCGUGCCAGCAGCCGCGGUAAUACGGAGGGGGCAAGCGUUGUGCGGAUUUACUGGGCGUAAAGGGCGCGUAGGCGGGGCAUCAAGUUAGGGGUGAAAGCCCGGGGCUCAACCUCGGAACUGCCUUUAAAACUGAUUCUCUAGAGUCCGGAAGAGGGUCGCGGAAUUCCCAGUGUAGAGGUGAAAUUCGUAGAUAUUGGGAAGAACACCGGUGGCGAAGGCGGCGACCUGGUCCGGUACUGACGCUGAGGCGCGAAAGCGUGGGGAGCAAACAGGAUUAGAUACCCGCGUAGUCC